UGAGGAAUACAUCGGAAUCUACUUUUUCGUGGGGGAUAACGUAGGGAAACUUACGCUAAUACCGCAUACGACCUACGGGUGAAAGCAGGGGAUCUUCGGACCUUGCGCGAUUGAAUGAGCCGAUGUCGGAUUAGCUAGUUGGCGGGGUAAAGGCCCACCAAGGCGACGAUCCGUAGCUGGUCUGAGAGGAUGAUCAGCCACACUGGAACUGAGACACGGUCCAGACUCCUACGGGAGGCAGCAGUGGGGAAUAUUGGACAAUGGGCGCAAGCCUGAUCCAGCCAUACCGCGUGGGUGAAGAAGGCCUUCGGGUUGUAAAGCCCUUUUGUUGGGAAAGAAAUCCAUCUGGCUAAUACCCGGGUGGGAUGACGGUACCCAAAGAAUAAGCACCGGCUAACUUCGUGCCAGCAGCCGCGGUAAUACGAAGGGUGCAAGCGUUACUCGGAAUUACUGGGCGUAAAGCGUGCGUAGGUGGUCGUUUAAGUCCGUUGUGAAAGCCCUGGG
rnacentral:rRNA from 1 species